rnacentral:lncRNA from 1 species
UAGCUUCAAGAAUUGGAAAUUUCUUUGUACAUGUAAUAAUGGCUUUAAGUAUAGGGAAUUUCAAACACGCUAAGCUUCAAGGAAUAUUCUUUAAAUUCAACAUCAACAAAGACAUGCUUGUUUUUUUUUUUAAAAAACUGUCAAACAAUAGUCAAUACCCUCAUGAACAAUAUUGACUGUCAUAGUCCUGAUGGACUACUAUUAGCACUUAUUAUAUUGAUUAAAAAAACUCAACAUUUAACUCAGGCAAUGAUGUUUCUAAAAAGUGAUAAUUAUAAAGGCUUCACUACAUUUAUUUGAGGCCAGACAAAAGUUUAUUUAUAUGAUGAUAUGUUAUGAGUUUGAUAUAUGAGAUAUGUGUAAAUUAUCAUGAAGGUAAGCAAAUCCUAUGUGAUACAAAACACGACCAGUCUAUCUUACAGCCUUUAAAUCAAACAGAGAGUGGAAACAGGGAAUGUGUCAAUGAGACAACAACCAGAGCAAAAAGCAGAAAACAGCCUAAGGUCACAAACCCAACACUUUCACUAAAAUUAAUUUGGCUUGUUUAAUUUUUAUAAAAUUUUGACAAAGUAUUUACUUUGACCCGUAAACCAAAAUAUAAAAAUUUCAAAAAUUUGGAACCAACUGUUUUGUCAGAAAAAU